rnacentral:rRNA from 1 species
GUAGUCCACGCCGUAAACGAUGGCCACUAGGUGUGGGGGUAUCGACCCCCUCCGCGCCGCAGCUAACGCGUUAAGUGGCCCGCCUGGGGAGUACGGCCGCAAGGCUAAAACUCAAAGGAAUUGACGGGGGCCCGCACAAGCAGCGGAGCGUGUGGUUUAAUUCGACGCAACGCGAAGAACCUUACCAGGGCUUGACAUGGACUGUUCAGUCCGGGAAACCGGUGGCCCGCAAGGGCGAAGUCUGCAGGUGCUGCACGGCUGUCGUCAGCUCGUGCCGUGAGGUGUUGGGUUAAG